rnacentral:lncRNA from 10 species
CCUGGAAGAGUAAAGUGGACCCUGUGUGAAAACAUUGACGACGUGGCAAAUGAGCAGCAAAUUGAUCAAUACGAAUGAUCACGCCCCAUGUGCAUCUCCUCAGCAGCCACAAGAGAGACGAGGUCACUGGAGGAUAAACAUCCGUGACUGCACCUCAUGAUCCAUCACGCACGACGGCCGCAGCAUCUCCUGCCAGCUGCCGGCACAGACAAGAGCACGGGAUGGACGACCGCGGUAGCAACGUGGGGCUCAUCUGCCUCUCUCUGAGCAGGAAGCCCGUAGGUCCCCACAGGCGGGUGCACGGAAGGGGUGGGUCCUGGGCCCAACAGGCACCCCCUGAGCACCAGCCCGUCUGAGGGUGGGCGGAGGGCGCUGCCGCAGGUCCCCACAUACCCAGCGCACGCUCACCCCACACUGGAGGCACCUGCCGGGUUCUGACACCCCUCGAGGUGCCUUCCCAGGGUUCUCACACCCACUGAAGGCAGCGCGCUCAGCCUGCUUUGCACAUGAGCCGCUGAGGCAGGCGAGUUGAGGGCGAGGGUGUGAAUCACGAGCUUGGGGCCAAAGCCCAAGGUCGUCCCCUCUGGCCGGCAAGCUCAGGCUCACACGGGGAGCCACCAGGCUGGACUGGGUGCAGCUUACGGACGUGGCGCGUGCUGUGGGCGUCGGGCCGCGGCUCCUCCAUGCAGUACUUACACUGCUGUCUGCAGAUCGCACCCAAUCAGGAGGGAAUGGUCCAGGCAGGUGGGCAAGGCCACGGUUUGGCCAGGUAAGGCUGGGAGGGCCCAGGAUGAUUGUGCGUUGAGCCAGGCAGAUCUGGAGAGGCGGAGGGAUGGGGACGGAGCGCCAUGCAGAGGCCGCUCGGUCCUCAGGAGCUGAGCAUCACCCUGGGAGUCUCAAGGAGGGUGUCCCCUGGCCUUAGCGGGCAGCCAGGGCCAGCAUGUGGUCUGUGGCAGCCGGUCUCAGAGGUGGCCUGGUUCGCAGUCUUGCUGGAUGGAGAUCCCCAGCUCCUAGGGCAAGGGCAGGUGGGGUGGGGCCGCCUCGGUCAGCUGAUAGGAACUGAACUGAGAAGGCUGUGAGCCGCUGAGUCGCCCUAACUGCAGGGUGGUCCUGCGGGCAGUACUGAGCCCGCCCUGCUGGGCACCCCACAGCCCCUGUGGCUCUCCAGCUGCCACUGAGGCCGGACGCCUCAUGAGGAGGCUCCCAUCUGUGGGUGGCAGAAUGACGGCCCCGAAGACCCCCCGCUUCCUCACCCGAAGACCCCCCGCUUCCUCACCCGAAGACCCCCCGCUUCCUCACCCGAAGACCCCCCGCUUCCUCACCCAAAGACCCCCCGCUUCCUUGCCCCGAAGACCCCGCUUCCUCACCCUGGGACCUGUGAGUUCACACAGCAGCGGGGACCUGCGACUGUGGACGGCACAUCAGCUCCCUCAACAGGGAGGCUGCCCUGGGUGACCCGCGAGGGCACAGGGUACCUCCGUCCUGCUGAGUGGAAGAGGGAGGCCAUGGCGGAGGCGGGCGUGAGGGGGACUGGCCUGCCACUACUGGCUUCGUGAGGGGCCCCCAGCCAAGGAGAGGCCUCCCGAAGCCGGAAGAGGCGGAAAAUGGAUUCUCCCAGGAGCCUCCAGAAGGAACCUUGGUGUUGGUGGAAUGGGAUGUGAGAGGACACGCGGGUGAUGUGUCUUGGGUCACACCAGUUCCCGGUCCCCGCACCAGCCCGCCCUGGGCGGGAAGCCUAAGAGGAAUGGAGGGGCCAUCGUGGGGCUCUCCCGGAAACUGGCCCCGGGUGCCUCGGUCCCUGCGUCAGUGCGGGGUUUCGGUGGCCGCCCUGCUGGCUCCGGGCACUCCCUCCGUCUUCCUGCCACGCGGCUGGUCCUUCCUGGGCUGGGCUGAGUCACCCUCCAUGCCCACCCGUCAUACCCGGCAAGAGCUGGGGGCGUGAAGCCAGGCCCAGGUGGGCUGUGGCGGCAUCCAGGUGGAAGGACGUGGAGGACUCGGAGGCGGAGGGGUCUCCAGGGCAGGGCAGGGCCAGUUGCCUGGGGCCAUCUGCUGUGUCCAGGAGCCCGGCGCUGCCACUGGCCUUGCCCCAAGGCCCAGCUCUGCCCUUCAUCCCUUCAGCACCUCCCCGUACCUUCCUUCCAUGGGUCUUAAGCUGUGGCAAGUCCUUAAGCUGGGACGGCCAGCGCCAGCCCUGCCCCCAACAGGUCACUCAGCGGCUCGGAGCCCACGUCCUCCUCGGUGACACAGGAAAAUGGUGCAGUUGUGCAAGGGCAUGAGAGGGUCCCGUGGAAGGCACAUUCCAGAAGGUUCUGUCCCAUGGAAGGCACGUUCCGGAAGGUUCCAUCCCAUGGAAGCCACGUUCCAGAAGUUUCCAUGCUGUGGAAGGCAUGUUCCGGAAGUUUCCGUCCCGUGGAAGGUCACUCUGUGCGGUGUGCACUGACCCCAGCCAGUGGAUGUUCCCCGUCCAAGAGCAAAGCUACAGUCGGCUGCAGGUGCAGUGACUUUUGCACAGUGGAAGAAUUUCUCCAGAAGAUAUUCCUGCAGGUGGAAUCACUGGAUCGUAGGCCCAGAUGUCUUCCACUUACUUGAUUUUGCCUGAUGCCUUCCAAGGAGGCUGUGCACAGCAGGUGUGAGAUGCCCCAUCUCACCAACCGGCCAACAUCCCGAUGGGAGAUGUUGAGUUUUCACCACGCUGCUGAGUGUGACGUGGAAUCUUCUUAUUUUAGCUUGCAUUUCCCUGAUUACAAGUCAGGUGGAACAUCUCGAAUAUGUUUCUGGGCCAUUUGAUUUUCCUGCAAGUCACCUGUUCCAGUUCUUUGCCCAUUUCCUGUUGGGUUGGUCAAUAUUUUUUGUGAUUACACGUUGGAUACGUGGCUGGCCUUUGGCUUGCCUUUGACUUCGUUUGUUCUAUCGAAGCAUGUGCAGAAUUGUUAAAUUUUAAUGUAUUCAAAUGCAUUAAUCUCAUUUCUUAUUUUUGUUGUUUUAUUUUUUGUUUUUUGUUUUUUUGAGACAGAGUCUCGCUCUGUCUCCCAGGCUGGAAUACAGUGACACGAUCUUGGCUCACUGCAACCUCUGCCUCCCCACUUCAAGCAAUCCUCCUGCCUCAGCUUCCUGAGAAGCUGGGACCACAGGCAUGUGCCAUCAUGUCCGGCUAAUUUUCUUUUUAAAAUGUUGUAGCAAUGGAGCCUGGGCUCAAGCCAUCUUCCCACCUCAGCCUGCCAAGUAGCUGGGACCACAGACAUGUGCCACUGCUGCGCCCAGCUAGCCUUUAAUAUUUUUAAAUGCUGUAAGAUCUGCAGGUUUUUUUCCAACCAAGUUUAUAGCUUUUCACCCCACGGAUCCCCGAGGCCAUGACAGGCAGUGACCUCCUUGGGGCACCCGCAG